rnacentral:rRNA from 1 species
AUUGAACGCUGGCGGCAGGCCUAACACAUGCAAGUCGAACGGUAGCACAAAGGAGCUUGCUCCUUGGGUGACGAGUGGCGGACGGGUGAGUAAUGUCUGGGAAACUGCCUGAUGGAGGGGGAUAACUACUGGAAACGGUAGCUAAUACCGCAUAACGUCGCAAGACCAAAGAGGGGGACCUUCGGGCCUCUUGCCAUCAGAUGUGCCCAGAUGGGAUUAGCUAGUAGGUGGGGUAAUGGCUCACCUAGGCGACGAUCCCUAGCUGGUCUGAGGGGAGGACCAGCCACACUGGAACUGAGACACGGGCCAGACUCCUACGGGAGGCAGCAGUGGGGAAUAUUGCACAAUGGGCGCAAGCCUGAUGCAGCCAUGCCGCGUGUAUGAAGAAGGCCUUCGGGUUGUAAAGUACUUUCAGCGGGGAGGAAGGUGAUACGGUUAAUAACCGUGUCAAUUGACGUUACCCGCAGAAGAAGCACCGGCUAACUCCGUGCCAGCAGCCGCCGUAA